rnacentral:lncRNA from 1 species
CGCCCGGCCAGCCGCCCCGUCUGGGAGGUGAGGGGCGCCUCUGCCCGGCCGCCCCUACUGGGAAGUGAGGAGCCCCUCUGCCCGGCCAGCCGACCCGUCCGGGAGGGAGGUGGGGGUGUCGGCCCCCUGCCCGGCCAGCCGCCCCGUCCGGGAGGGAGGUGGGGGGGUCGGCUCCCCACCCGGCCAGCCGCCCCGUCCGGGAGGGAGGUGGUGGGGGGUCAGCCCCCCUGCCCGGCCAGCCGCCCCGUCCGGGAGGUGAGGGGCGCCUCUGCCCGGCCGCCCCUACUGGGAAGUGAGGAGCCGCUCUGCCCGGCCAGCCGCCCCGUCCGGGAGGGAGGUGGUGGGGGGGUCAGCCCCCCCGCCCGGCCAGCCGCCCCGUCUGGGAGGUGAGGGGCGCCUCUGCCCGGCCGCCCCUACUGGGAAGUGAGGAGCCCUUCUGCCCGGCCACCACCCCGUCUGGGAGGUGUGCCCAACAGCUCAUUGAGAACGGGCCAUGAUGACAAUGGCGGCUUUGUGGAAUAGAAAGGCGGGAAAGGUGGGGAAAAGAUUGAGAAAUCGGAUGGUUGCCGU